rnacentral:rRNA from 1 species
GACGAACGCUGGCGGCGUGCCUAAUACAUGCAAGUAGAACGCUGAAGCGAGGAGCUUGCUCUUCUUGGAUGAGUUGCGAACGGGUGAGUAACGCGUAGGUAACCUGCCUUGUAGCGGGGGAUAACUAUUGGAAACGAUAGCUAAUACCGCAUAACAAUGGAUGACACAUGUCAUUUAUUUGAAAGGGGCAAUUGCUCCACUACAAGAUGGACCUGCGUUGUAUUAGCUAGUAGGUGAGGUAAUGGCUCACCUAGGCGACGAUACAUAGCCGACCUGAGAGGGUGAUCGGCCACACUGGGACUGAGACUCGGCCCAGACUCCUACGGGAGGCAGCAGUAGGGAAUCUUCGGCAAUGGGGGCAACCCUGACCGAGCAACGUCGCGUGAGUGAAGAAGGUUUUCGGAUCGUAAAGCUCUGUUGUAAGUCAAGAACGGGUGUGAGAGUGGAAAGUUCACACUGUGACGGUAGCUUACCAGAAAGGGACGGCUAACUACGUG